CAAGAACAAAAAUAGAAAAUUACGGGGAGAGAACAGCUCCCCCAAAUUCAUAUAAUACGGUUAAAUGACAUACCUUUUUUCUCAGAUUCGUCAGCAGCAAUCUCUGAUUGCACAUGAAGAAGAAGAAGAAGAAAAAAACACGAUGUGAGGAAUGAAGAAGCAUCAUCAACAUAAAUUGAAGAACAAAAAUAGAAUAGAUCUGGAAUUCAAAAAUAAAUAUGAAUCUGUAAAUCAAAAAACGAAAAAUGGAUCUGAAGUGCAUACCUUCGUUGCAGUCGUGUUCUCUGCUUCAUCAUUCGUUCUCUGAGUUUGUCAAAAGAGAGGGAGAAAUGAAAGAAUCGAAAAAAGAGAGGAAGCUAAAUGAAAGAGGUUUUUGAAUUUCAAAUGAAAGAAUUCCCGGUUUGUUAGUCUUACUUGUGAAUUGUGAAAGUGACCUGACCUAAGAAAGAUACAAAACUCUGCAAUGAAAGGGAUGACUCACACAAUACGUGAAACUGGUUUGAAGAAGAUGUUGCAUCAAUAAGUGACUGAAACUUUUUGGUUGUGAAAAUGGUUUCAAAUUUCAUACCAAAAGAAGAAGAGGAGUUCUGCAUUCUGAAACAAUGAAAACAACUUAUCGAUGCUCCUCCACUGUCCUGUUUUGCCCGCAUGCGUUUUUUUUAUUCUUUUCAACAAACAGGACCGGGCUUGGUUGGGCCUUGUUGGGCUGGACAUAUGUUUAUGGCCCAGCAAGCUAAGUGAUGAAUGAGAGGGAAAUAAAAUUCAAAUUGCUGGCCAAAAGAAGCAAAAUUUUUCAAAUUCUUCCAGCUAGGAUUUGUGCAGAUUGUAUGUGUGAUUGACAUGUGUCAAAAAUUUCCAUUUAGCUGUGGUCUUUUUGUGUAGUUAAAAUGAUUA
rnacentral:lncRNA from 1 species